rnacentral:rRNA from 1 species
UACGAAGGGAGCUAGCGUUGUUCGGAAUCACUGGGCGUAAAGCGCACGUAGGCGGAUCGUUUAGUCAGGGGUGAAAUCCCGGAGCUCAACUUCGGAACUGCCUUUGAUACUGGCGAUCUCGAGUCCGAUAGAGGUGGGUGGAAUUCCUAGUGUAGAGGUGAAAUUCGUAGAUAUUAGGAAGAACACCGGUGGCGAAGGCGGCCCACUGGCCCGGUACUGACGCUGAGGUGCGAAAGCGUGGGGAGCAAACAGG